rnacentral:rRNA from 1 species
AAACGAGGCGAACCGGGGAAACUGAAACAUCUCAGUACCCCGAGGAAAAGAAAUCAACCGAGAUUCCCCCAGUAGCGGCGAGCGAACAGGGAGCAGCCCAGAGUCAACAUCAAUAUUUACCGCAGGAGAAAGAUCUGGAAAGGCCGGCAAUAAAGGGUGAUAGCCCCGUAUCUGAAGCGGUAAGUGUUGUGAACUCGAAGAGUAAGGCGGGACACGUGUUAUCCUGUCUGAAUAUGGGGGGACCAUCCUCCAAGGCUAAAUACUCCUGACUGACCGAUAGUGAACCAGUACCGUGAGGGAAAGGCGAAAAGAACCCCGGCGAGGGGAGUGAAAUAGAACCUGAAACCGUGUACGUACAAGCAGUAGGAGCACCCGAAAAGGUGUGACUGCGUACCUUUUGUAUAAUGGGUCAGCGACUUAUAUUCUGUAGCAAGGUUAACCGCAUAAGGGAGCCGUAGGGAAACCGAGUCUUAACUGGGCGUUAAGUUGCAGGGUAUAGACCCGAAACCCGGUGA